rnacentral:tRNA from 1 species
UCCAGCAUCGUCUAGUGGCUAGGAUGUCUGGCUUUCACCCAGAAGGCCCGGGUUCGAUUCCCGGCGUUGGAA